UCUGCCAAGAUAACAACAGGACACUCAUCUUUUAGGCGAGGGCCUUUCAUCUAAUGCGUGGUUUGGAAUUUUUCCCCUUUUGCAAAUGAAAAGAGGCCCAACUCCCGAUUGUCCUCCCCCAGUCCCUGGCUACCAAGGAGAUGUAGGUAGAGAUGGCUCACUCUGUAAUGGUGCUAAUCAGGUUGAAGAUUGGCUUCCUCCUCCUCCUCCACCAUUCCCUCCAUAUCGACCGUGCAAUGAGCACCAAUAACUAUAUCAGUAGCCUCUGCUUAGGAGCCAAUUACACCAUCCAUGGUGAGUUCGAAUCGAACAUGCACAGCGUCUUCAAUAACUUGAUAAACGCUGCCCAUCCCCUUGGUUUUGCUGAGGCCACCGCAGGUGAAGGACCGGAAACGGUUUACGGCCUGGUUCAGUGCAGGCGCGACAUUGAUAACGUGACCUGCAACGCGUGCAUCUCUGCUGCCACCGACCAAAUCGUCCAUCCAUACUGCGGCACCUCAAUGGAUGCGAUCAUAUGGUAUGAAAAGUGCCAGCUCCGCUACUCCAACACCAACUUCUUUCGUCUCCUAAAUUCUGAUGAUUAUGGUAAUUCAUCUACCGGUCACAAAGCGCAAGAUCCUGAAGCCUUGUAUUACAAGUUGGCAAGCCUGUUGAAGAGUAACCUCACUUCUGAAGCGACAAGAGAGCCUUCAGGGACGAUGUUUGCUACGGGAGAGAUGCAGUAUACAAACCUAGAGACGCUCUACGGGCUGGUGCAGUGCACCGGGGACACCAGCCUCAAUGAUUGCAAGGAAUGUUUGAAUAGCAUCAUCUCCCAGAUUCGAUCGACUUGCAACGGUGAGGAAGGCUGUGAAAUUGUCACGGGAAGUUGCCGUGUAAGGUAUGAUACCCGGCUCUUUUAUGGUACCACUACCACUCCAACCCCAUCUCCUCCAGCACCUCCAUCAAAUGGCGCAUCCAACACUACGCCAGGGACGGGCAAUAUUAUAAUCGAAAAACCGAUUGUCAUCUCGGUUUUGAUUGCGGUUCUCGUGAUUACAUGCGCCAUUUGUGGGUUUUGCUGGUGGAAGAGAGAGUUUUGUUGCUUUUGGAGAAAGAAGUUGAGCGGCUUGCAGGGGAUGGCAGAAGAGGAGGCGGCCUUGGAACAACAAGCUUUUAGGAGAGCAGAUCCGAUGGACGGACCAACAUUCGACCUGGUCACUACCAGAUCUGCCACCAACAAUUUUGCACUCAGAAAUAAGCUUGGGGAAGGAGGAUUUGGUUCUGUUUACAGGGGCCAACUACUGAAUGGUCUAGAAAUAGCUGUGAAGAGGCUGUCACUAAAUACAGGACAUGGUUCGAAGCAAUUCGACAAUGAAGUGCAGACACUCACUAAACUUCAACACAGAAAUCUUGUCCGACUUUUAGGAGGCUUUAUGGAAGGUGAAGAGAAGAUACUCAUCUAUGAAUAUGUAUCCAACGGUAGUCUGGACAAUUUUCUCUUCGGAGAGCCAACAAAGCGUAUGCAGUUGGACUGGGCAGUACGUUCCAAGCUCAUAAAUGGCAUAGCCAGAGGAGUUAUGUAUCUUCACGAAGAUUCUCGUCUGAGAAUUGUUCACAGGGAUCUGAAAGCAAGCAACAUUUUAUUAGAUACAGACAUGAAUCCCAAGAUCUCAGAUUUUGGCACUGCGAAGAUCUUUGACACAGACCAAACACAAACCGAUACACUUGAGGUUAUGGGAACUCGUGGAUAUAUGGCACCUGAGUAUCUUCUUGAAGGAAAAGUAUCAGUAAAGAUAGAUGUUUACAGCUUUGGUGUUUUGGUGCUGGAAAUCAUAAGUGGAAAAAAGAAUUUCUCCUUAAUUCAACAAGAUACUGAUGAAAAUCUCUUAAAUUAUGUAUGGAGACUUUGGGGGGAAAACAAGGCUCUGGAAGUUGUGGAUCAAACAUUGGAAGAAACACGUGAUAGCGAUGAGAUACUAAGGUGCAUCCAUAUUGGCCUGCUAUGCGUCCAAGAAGAUGCAUCAAGCAGGCCCAGAAUGUCCAAGGUUGUUGCGAUGCUUGAAAACAGCUCCUUGAUUCUUCCAUCCAUUUUGCCUCCUGCCCCCCCUACCAGGAAAAUCAAAAACCUUUCUUCGGGAGCACAAACGAGCUCAACUGCAUCAGGAAUUGGUUCAGAGCUUUAUUCAUCUUCUUACUGAAGCUUUUAACUACUCAUGGGAGAAGGAAGUCGAGAUGAACAUCUAUUGCUCUGCCUUUUAAGGACAGAAAGGAUUAAAUCACUCAUUUGGUGGACUUAACAAGCUGCAAUUUCGAGCUGACCGCUGGUCAAAGAGCUACCAGUACUACAAAAUCUUACUUUUUCUCCAAGUGGCACCAAAAAAACUGCAUGAUGGUGAACAUUAACAUAAAAUUUAUUUUUUAAUUUGUGCCCUAAUACAGAACAGUAUUGAAGACAUCUUGGGUAGAAUAAUGCAUUGUUCCUUAUCAGACUUCAUUCUAAGAACACAUGCAUUUUGAGAGCUUGAACGAAGGUGAAAACAAGAACAGAGCUUGUGAACAAGGUAAUCUAAGUUACCCACGAGUGCGCUUGGGCAAUAUCUAGGCUUGCUUGUCAAGCCAAAUCACUACGUUCCGUCUUCGUUACAGUUGAUUUUUGUAAGAAAGUUCCUGAUUUAAUGCCUAUAUAUGAUUCCAUGUUGUGGAAUUCAAGGUUAAUGUCAUCAUGGAUUUAGUUA